ensembl:lncRNA
AACAAUAUUUUUAUUUAUCAUAUAACAAUAAUUAAGCUCAUGUGACCAAGAUACAACACGAAGCUGUAGAUCAAGAGUUAUAUUUGAAAGAACUGCAGAUUUGAUUUUUCCUGAAUAAUCCCCAAAUUAUAAGAUUCUUCAAUGGUCUUUUUUGUUGUUUUUUUUUUUUUUUCUUGAAAUGUGUACACACAUUGUAGAUGAACAUCAGUUCUAGAAAUCAAUGCCAUGCAGAAAAUAGCUGGUUUUUCUCCUGUUUUGCAGGGGAAAAUAAUAAAUAUUGGUAAAAUCUGAAGUGCCUACAGACUUGUUUUUUAUUGAAACAAUAUUAUAUUUAAUCCUAUAUUUAAUCCUAAGAAUGAUACAUGAAGUUCAUACAGAGAAAAAUAGCUAUGUGUAUUGAUUACAUACAAACUGCUGCUAGGUGUAUUUAGAAAAUAAGAAAGUAUAAACCUUCAUUAUUGCAGUGACAGAUAUAUCUUAUAACAUCCAGUAGCUCCAAUGGUCAUUGAAAUGUUUAAGUACAUUUUGCCUGUUGAUAUAUUUCUAAAAUAGGUGAAAAAUUAAAUAUUAAAAAUAGAAAGAGUAAACAUUGAUGGCUUGCAAAGAGAGCAGAAAAUUAAAUCUACAGCACUUAGAGACAGUAUAAAGACAUGAUGAGGUUUUGCAGAUAUAAAAGAAGCUCAUGUUUCUAAAGACAAACCUUAAAAAAAUUAGGCUCAUAAUGCAUUGCAUCUUCCUUGCAACAUAUUGCACUACAUAAGACUAAGGACCAGCAGUAACAUGGACAUAUGGGAAUUGCAGCUGCUUACUACUGCAAGUUUUUUUUUAAAGUGACUUACUCUGAAAUAGUUAAUAGCUACACAAAACAUUUCUGAAUCAUUAAAGUACAGCAGUAAAAAUUUAUUUUUUAUUUUUCAUAGCAGGCCUCAGCAGGGAAGAAUGACAAAUUUAAAAAAAAUAAUAAUAAUAACCCUACCUUUUCCUAAAUCCUCUGGUUGUCUGGUUGCAGAAGACACUCCUCCAACUCACAUCUUCUUAACAGCAGCACAGCAGAGAGUAAUAUGACUUUAUAUCAUAACAAACAUUCCUUGAAAGAAGACAUUACUUGUGAGAAAAGUUACAUUGCAGUUCAACUACAGCCGAAGAGACACUUUGCUCUUUUGAAGACAUCAGGUUAUGAAAGAUCACUCUGACUUUGCCAUGGAAAAACAAGUGGCCAAAGAUGCAACAGGGCAGAGCAGUAGGAUGCAACCCCCAUUUCUCCAGUUCACUGUUUAAUCACUGGCUUCUGCCUGAUUCUGUACCCUGCAGGGGUGACAUUCCUCACAAGCACACCUAACACACAACACUCUGAACAGUAAGGAGUUGAGGUAACAUCUGGUUUAUGGAUCCUGCCAAACAGCCCAACAUUUGUUCCUGUCAGGACAUUAGGCAGUCAGGUGGAAAUGUCUGCCCACAGAAAAUGCCUGCCUACAGAAAACUGAUGUGUGUUGCCAGGACAAGGAGAUACACCAGUGAACUUCACGCAUCUGUACAGCUAGGGGGGAGGUACAUGAACACAGUGCUCUCUCAGGCACCAGGCCAUCUCUUCCUCCUGAUGUCUUCAGCCUUCAAUGUCAAACUCUAGGGUACAUCUACCACCAAGGAACAAAGUAAAUUUAUCAUGACAAGCACAAUGAUCCGGGAGCAUCCAGUCCGUGCUUUACAUCAGAUCAAAGAGACAAGCUUCUUGUUAGCAGCAGUAACCUGAUGCACACUUUUAGCACCAACUUUUGCCCAAAAUAGUUUCAUUCUGUGCAUUGAAACCCCAAAACCAAGGGGGAAAAUGAAGGCAUACAGUGUGGCAAAAGAGAAGCCUAAGGCAUGUGGAGAUGCUGCAUGUCUUUAUCCUCCUAAAGCUGCAAAAACACUCAGUGCUGGUUAGGGAGCCAAAUUUUGAGAAGGUAAGUAGUGGUAAAUUUAAUGUUCAAACCUUUAUCAUUUAAAUAUUAAGCCUAAAAAAUUAAUAUUUUGAAUAGGAUCUGCACAGUCUGUUCAGAAUUAGAAUAAUCAAUACAAGUGGGUUCCUGCAUCAGCUUUACAUAGAGAAUAACCCAAAUUGUCAGGCUAAGCUGCGUUGCUCUUAAUCUUUCUGGUUGAGCAGAGCAUGGCUUACCAAAGGGCUACCCACCCUCCCUCUACACCUUUGGCAAAGGCAUUGGGGCCACCCCUGCAGAACUGAUCCACCAAGAACAUUUCUAUGUUUCCCUGUUGAGACUUUAUUAAAGGGAAUUGCAUUUGAGUUCGGUAUCAUUCUACAUCAAUGUCCAAAUUAAAGCACUGUCUUCAAGUGCUCAUCUGCUGCAUUUGCAAGUGGCUUCCAGUCCCCUCCAGGCAGCAGCACAAGAAGGAAGCCUAACUGAGCUUCCCCUCUCUUCUACUGAUCAUGAGCUUUAAGCUGUGCAAAAAUGAGGAUUUGUGAAAAAAUCUGUUGAAACUUUACCACAACUGGAAAGACAGAUUUCCUUCACAGACUCUUCCAUGUACAGAGUGAGGAAAGCAGAGGGCCUGGCUGCUCCAAGGCUGAUGGAAGUAUACAAGUAACUGUGGGCACUGUGGAAAGGUAUCUGAUUUGGAGCUCACAGUCAUUACCACAAUUACUUGUAGCAGAACCGGAACUCAUAACUCUCUCUUCUCUUUACUAAAACUCUUGAGAAAAUGCUUCUUAAAAUAUAAUCCAAUGACUUUUUGCUGACUUAGAAACAUAACAAAACCCCAACACCCAACCCAACCUUGAUAUAUCUGUCACUUUUGAAUCAUCUGAUAGUAAUUGCACCCUCUUUUCCGCCAACAUGAAACACUCACUAUAGAAUGACAACCACUCUCUGAUCAGCUUGACUUUUCCCACGUGGCUGGCGUAAGUUACUCAACAAAGUGAUAGAUCUGUCAACACAAGACAAUUUGAUAUGUGUGCAUCCCUAUCAGAAUGGACCCCAGUGCUGAAGCAAUAAAAAACUCCUUGCCAAUACAAACCAUUACUUGAAGUUUUCCCUGACCAUGUUGUCUAUGUGCUGGCACCAACCAACUUUGUUGGUUGAGUCCUCUUUCCUGUAGAUAUCUUCUUAUUCUGCAGCACUAUUGCCCUUUUUGAGCUACAUGCAGACCUCCUGCUGAAUUCCUGGACUAGCACUUGCCUUUGCUCAUGACCAUGAGAGGCUCUUUGCUGUGCAACCUGCCCUGGUGGCAGCAGAGGUGGUAUGUUGUGGAAGCAUCAUCAACAUGGAAUUAUUUCUUGUCAUGGGGGUAAAGAAUACAGUCUGUUUUUUUUUUUUUUUCUUUAUAAACCCAUCUGGACAUCUUCAGCUCACCAGAUUUUUUUUUUCUGAUUAAGGCAACCAGACUCUAACAAAUUCCUGCUGGCUUAUGUCUUUUACAUAAGGCACAUGCAGAGUAUCUUAAUUCCAAGUGGUCAGAGAAAGACAGCCACAUUUCCUGCCCCUUUUGCAAUCCUACAGCAAUGAGCCUGGGCUGAUUUCUCUGCAUGCAGAAAGUCACUGAAAGCCAGAGGGAAUCUGUACUUGAAAGGGUUUCAGCCAUGAAAAGCAGCAAGCCCCAGCAGCAUCUGUCUGUGAGACUCAAAGGAAUAUGUCAUUCUUUGGGUAUUGUGAAUCUUGACAGGUGUUUUAGGGGUAUCUCUUUUUGCCCACAUGCUUACACUACAGUCUCUGUACAACUGGGUGUGUAUAUAGAUUAAAAAGAUAAAAAUUUCCAAAGAAAAGCAAUUCCAGUUUUUGACCAAGCUGAUGAAAAUCUGAGACUGGGUGAAAAAAUAUGUGAUUUCAUCAGUAUAUCACAGUAAUCCUUACAAGUUGUUGGACAAUAUGUGGAAACACCCAAAGCUGGUGUUCAAAUAUGUGGCUUUGUAUUACAAAAGCAUACUGAACCCCUGGUGGAUUUACUUCUGGUCUACUUGCUAAAAUUCACUCUUGGGUUUCAAACUCGGGCUUUGGAGCUAUAUGGAAAGCACAACAAAGCUAUCAUACAGUGCUUUAUAAUGGUGCUCAUUCUAAAGGCAUUGUUAGAGAAAGAGAAGUCAGAAUGCUCCUGAGACACAAAAAGCUGUACCAUGUAUAAACACAAAGUUUAUAAAUAGCUUGAAAGCCAUAGCAAGAAAUUUUUAAAAAUCCCUAAAUUGUAGGGUAGGAAGAAUGGACAGAAAAUAAUAAUUCAGAUAAGAUUUCUGUAUUUCAAUGAGCUGCAAUUUUUUUUCUCUCAUCUCCAACAGCCAAUAUGUAUCCUGUCUCAGAAUAUACAAGUAACGAUACUUGAACUAUAGAUACUCAGAGAUGCCUUCAGAGGAUGGCUAUGCAUGUAACAAUCUAAUUUAUCAAAGCACAAGAAUUUAUAAUGCCUAAUUAAAAUGGGAUAUUCAUUGCUAAAUUAAAGGUUUUUUUAAAAUGGACUUUAAAAUGUAGCCACAAAAUCAAUGGAUAUCCCCCUGGCCUGUUAGACACCCACAUAAACGCAGCUUAUGAGUAGCAAGUACUUAAUUUACUGAUGGCCAGAUGCUCAUUUUGGCAAAGAUGGCCCUUCUGCAUGCCCAGAUUCAGAGACAUUUCUGAAACUGUUGAUGACCAUCAGAAACAGGCUGCUAGGCUAGCCUUUGGCCUGGUCCAUAUGGAAGUUCUUAUGGUCUUCCUAGUAGAGCAGAGCAAGAAAGCAAUCCAUUCUCAUUUCUCGGAAUUCAAAGGUGGAGGAACAAAGUUCUCAUUUGGUGCCUUCUCAAGGCCUUUGUACACAGAUGCAGCAGAGCCUUUGGACACCCCCUGUUCCUGCCUCAUACUCCCAGCUUGUGCCUGCCUGUCCCCAAGCACAGGUAUGGUAUUCACUGCCAUUUAAAAACUACUUUUCCACCUGUCGUCUACCAAUAGCAGGGGAAUCUAACGAACUCCUGCUGACUUUUUGUCUUCACUGUGUGUGCAUACUAAUUCCAGACAGAAGCAUUUUGCUGAGGAGUCAGAGGACUCAUUAUCCCUUUUUAACAGUACACAACCCCAGUCAUAAUGUAUGCCCACAGGAAGAAAUGUUUGCCAUGCAGGGAAUGACUCAGACUAGGUCAAAGCAGCGAUAUAAGGAGUGUGGAGAAAAGUGAACAGUAACUGCAGCUUAUAAAAGGUAGCAUUUAUCUUAAGAGAGUGACAACUGCAUUUAUCUUAACAGAGCGACAAGUUACAAGGGAGUAUUGUGAUCUUCUGACUCUGAAGCCCACCCUUUAGGAACCACUGAUCUGGAAUAUGAAAAGACUGUACAUGCUGAAAAAGUCUUUUUUAAUGUGACAGGGUCAGAUUGCGAUGAAGCUCACUCAGGUCGAGUGGGCAGGCAUUUUCCUUCUUGUUUUGCCACCAUUGACAUUAACACUAUCAUUAUUGGUAAAAUAAAGCUGAAUACAAUGCAAAUGCAAUUGUGGUCCUUUUGCAUACUAACAAUUGAUAAUUAAAAAAUUUCAAUAAAUUCAAUAAAUCCCAAUGUUUUUAUUUUUUCUGAGUGACUGGCUCUACUGGGAAGUAACAACAGUAUGAGGUCGCCCUGGUAGUACUCUUAUAACGAAGUGAGGUGCAGCAACUAUCAGUCAUGAAGUUGACUCUCUGUUUAUAAGAUUAAACAAUGACUAAGCUUUAAAAAAUGCAUAAACAGCAGUGUAAUAAGGCCGUCAUUGAAGUAUAAGGAAUAAAAUGAAACUGGUAAAACACAUAACUACAUAUUAUUAUAGCAAGUGAAACACACCCAGAAAACGGCUUCCUUUCAGUCUAAUUGUUCCACCUGCCUGCAUACAGUAUGCUACACAAAGUCCUGGGCUUAAUCACCUCUUAGCUGUGUCAUGUCUCUUUCCUGAUGGAAAGCACAGCAAUGCACCAAAUCAACUAGAGACAACAGAAAUUAUUAAACAUGCAUAACCUUUGAGAGUA